AGUUGGUGACCGUUUCCGUUCCGUUGUUGUUGCCGUUCAGCAGUUCAGCAACUCAAACAACUCAAAACCUAGAUCUACAACUAGAUCUGAGUUUGCCUGACUCACCUCUGUCUCUCUUCGUUUCCGGUGACACACAACACUCAAACGAUUGAUGCUGGAAAUGGGGAGGAUCGUGACUCCCACUCAGGUUCUUCUGAUGAACUACCACGAAUCCCUAUUGCACCACAAGGUAUGGGUUCUGUAGGUGAGAAGGCUGCUUCAAACAUUGUUGGUGGUGGAAGUGGAACAGGACCUUUAGGUUCUACUGCUACUCCAACAGGUUCUACUCCUGCAGCUGCAAAUUCAGGCCUUAGCGAUUCAAAAAAGUCACGACGCUACUCAUGGUGGCAUCUGAAUCUGCUUUUAGUACAGGUAAAAGAGUGUUGGAUGAAAGGAAGAGCAGACUAGCUCCAGACAUUUUGGACUGUCUCAUUUGCUUGAAAGAUUGGGAGGAUGUACACCUUGGAAUUCAAAAAUGCUCAGCUAAAGAUGAAUUCAGAGGCUAUUUUGCAGACUCUGAUAUCGAUAGUGAUUAGGGGGACCUACUGGCAUUUGGUUUGAAUUUAUUAUUCAUUUAUUCUGCUAGGGUUGUGUCUGUGGCUUAUUCAUUUUAGUAUUGUGCAUUUGUGUUUGUGGCUUAUUCAUUUCAGUAAGUGGGCUGAAGUGGAUGUUGUGGCAACUUAUGAAGGCCUUACAGGGCAACAUGAUGUUGCCCCCGCUUCAAUUUUUGGCUAUGAUGUAUUUUCUUAACUAAUAUGCUGAGCCUAAGUUUUGCUGCAUGCCUUGUGGUCUAUUUAGCUUCACUUAACUGAAGUGGAUGUUGCCUGCAUGCGUUGUGGGGUGUGUGUGUCUCCUUUUAGUCUGAAAUGAAUAAGCCACAGACACAACCCCAAUUUUUGGCUAAGUGAAGUGUGAUUGUGUUGCAACUUAUGAAGGCCUUAAUGGCAACUUAACAUUGCCGCAUCCAUUUCUGUUUCCGGCUAUGAUGAUAAAAAAAAACACUAAUGUUUGAGCCGUAUUGUUAUGAACUAUGAAGUGGUGUUGCAACUUAUGAAGGCCAUAAUGGCAACUUAACGUUGCAUCCAUUUCAAUUUUCUGCUAUGAUGAUAAAAAGAACUAAUAUCUAAGCAGAAUUCAAUUUUCUUAUUCAUUUUCCUUGUUCAUUUGGCUUUCAUAUACCUAUUUUCUGCUGGUGCUGGUGCUGGUUCUUGUUUUGUAGGACAUUGUAGACGCCAAGGACCAAACCAUGUGAAGGCUGAAGCAAAUUAAUGCCAACAAAAUGUAGAAGUGUACUUGGAUAGCUUUUGUGGUAGCUGUUUUCGAUCCAGCAAGUGCCCUUCCAACAUUCCAGAAUCCAUUCUCUCUCUCGCUCUCGAAAGGUGAACAGUGAGUCAUUGACUAUCCAAUCUCUAGUAGUUUAUGUGUUUGUAGCUUGUAUUUAGCUUGGUGGAUACCUCUAACCUGGUUUUAUGCCAAACCUGAGGUGUAACGAAGCCAGGCUAAAUAUUGAGUUUGUUUUUAGUUAGUAUAGUUAAUUU